rnacentral:rRNA from 1 species
UAAACCUGCCUCUUAGCGGGGGAUAACUAUUGGAAACGAUAGCUAAUACCGCAUAAAAGUCGACAUUGCAUGAUGUUGACUUGGAAGGUGCAAUUGCAUCACUAAGAGAUGGACCUGCGUUGUAUUAGCUAGUUGGUGAGGUAACGGCUCACCAAGGCGACGAUACAUAGCCGACCUGAGAGGGUGAUCGGCCACACUGGGACUGAGACACGGCCCAG